rnacentral:lncRNA from 10 species
CUUGAGCAUGCUGUUGGAGCAGCUGAGACUUGGAAACAUGUAGGCAACGUUUCUAAGAAUGUCUUUGCUGUACAUGUUGGAGGAAGAUCUCAGAUUUUUGCAUUUAAAAGAUCCUGGCCUGUCACAGCCUCCCCGCUUAAAACUACAGCCCUUAUGAAAAACAGGUGCUGGGAUAGAUUUGGCCCCUGGACCAUUGUCGUUUGCCAACUCCUGGUAGAGUGGAAGAAACUCAGAACAAGGAGUGAGAAGCCUUGCCUUCCAAUUUUGGUUUUAUUACUUUUUAGUUUUGACAUAAUCAUUUAACUUCUAACCUCAGUUUCCCCAUCUGAAAAAUGAGUAUGAAAAGAGGGUAAACAGGAACUUUACAGUGGAGAAACCCGGCAGACACUACCUGAGUCAGGUGGUCAUGGUCAACAUCAUCAGUGCUAAGUCACGAUAGAGUAAGAAAUAUUUGGUCUUUGUCCCUGGUUCCUGACACAGAACUUCUAUAACCCUUGGAAUUUCCUGAGUGGCAUGCAUGAUAGGAGCAUUUUCUAUUAUUCAUAACAAGCCCCUUCAGCCUUACCUGAGUUUCUGCUAAUGCAGUGACUUUUGGUGGGCCCCUAGAUAGCUCCAGGAUGGAGCUGGUUGCCAAAGGAACCAGCCAUGUAAUUAAAGAGUGGAACUUUCAGGGCCACUGAUAUGGUUUGGCUGUGUCCCCAUCCAAAUCUCAUCUUGAAUUACAGCUCCCACAAUUCCCGUGUGUUGUAGGAGGGACCCAGUGGGAGGUAAUUGAAUCAUGGGGGCAGGUCUUUCCCGUGCUGUUCUCAUGACAGUGAAUGACUCUCAUGAGAUCUGAUGGUUUUAUAAAGGGGAAUUCCCCUGCACAAGCUCUCUCUUGCCUGCUCCCAUGUAAGAUGUCCCUUGUUCUUCUGCUGUGAUUGUGAGGCCUCCCCAGCCAUAUGAAACUGUGAGUCAAUUACAACUCUUUCUUGUAUAGAUUACCCAGUGUCAGGUAUGUCUUUAUUAGCAGCACGAGAACAGACUAAUGCAGUCACCCUUCCUUCAGGGAGGGGUGAAGGGGUCGAGAUUGAGUUAAUCACCAGUGGUCAAUGAUGUAAUCAAUCAUACCUCUGUUAUGGAAGCUCCAUUAAAAAACCUAAAGGACAGGGUUCUGAGGGUUCCAGAUUGAUGAAUGCAUCCAUGUACCAGGAAUGGGGCACAUCCCAACCCCACAGGGAUGGAAGCUUCUGUACUCUGCCCCUUCUGGACCUCACCCCGUGUGCCUCUUCCUUGAGCUGUUUAUGUGUAUCCUUUAUAACAAACAAGUAAGAGUAGGAAAGUAUUCUCCUUAGUUCUGUGAGCCCUGAGGAGGGAGUUUUAGGACUCCCCUGACCCCAGAUUUAUAGCCAGUCAGAAGUGUGGAGGGCUCAGGACUUGCAAUUGGUGUCUGAAAUGGGGCAGUCUUGUGGGGCUCUGUGUUAACUCUGGGUAGUUAGUGUCAGAACUGAAUUGAAUUGAAUUACAGGAUACCUGGCUGCUGUCCAGAAAACUGGAGAAUUAGUGUGAGGAAAAACCCCCACAGUUGGUGUUAGAAGUGUUGCGAGUGAAGCAGCCGAGAGCCACGUUGAUAGCAUGCAUCCUUGAUAGGAUUUGAUGAAAAUGGCACCCCAGCCCUGCGGUCAUCCUCCAGAAAAGCCAUUGACAGCAGUUGAAGCAUGAGAAAAUGACCAGGUAGACCUAGGGACAGUCUACAAUAUACCUGAUCACUAUUCCUCAAAACUGCCAAGGCCAUAAAAACAAGGCAAGACUGAACCACGGUCACAGAUCAAAGGAGACUAAGGAGACGUGAUUAAACAUCGUGUGGUAUCCUGGACAUGGGACCUUGGGAGAGAAAAAGGACAUUAGGGAAAAACUGGUGACAUCUGAACAAAGUGUGGAGCUCAGUUAAUAGUCAUGUAUCAGUGUCGGUUCCUUGGUUGUGACAAAUUUACUGUGGCCAUGUAAGAUGUUCACAUUACAGGGACCUAGGUUAGGAGAAUAGGUGAAUUUUGCAACUUUGCUAUAAAUCUAAAACUGUUCUACAGUAAAAGCUUUAUAUUAAGAAAAUAUUAAAAAUCUCUAGGAUUUGGCAAUUGAUUAGGUAAGGAGGGCAAGGGAGAAGGAGGAAUAAAGAUUUUUGUGAAAGUCUUUGGCCUGAUUACCUCGGAAGUUAGCUAUGCGAGUGGACAGAAAUGACAGAAUAUAGGAGGCAGUCUGGCUUGCAAUAGGAAAUAAUGAACUCGUGGUACUAGGGAUAUAUCCAUGAAUGCGAUGUACCGUUUAACAGUUAAAGUAAUAAAAAUGGCCAGAAAGGGCUUUUGGAUUUCAGAUGUUUGGUUUAAAAUGACCUCUAGCCUCACAGCAUUUGGCAUUUAAAUUCUAAUUUAAAAAGAAAGAGGAACUGGAUUAAAAAUAAAGUAGUGAUUGAACUUGUAUAAAUAGCUGGACUCCUGCUCUUGUUUCUAUGUUUCUGUGUGGGUAAAUUUAUCUUUUUGUCAUUAAUGCAUUGCUUGGAGCUUGGAGUAGCUAUCAGCCCCUCUUUAUUUGCAGAAGGACUUAGAGUCAUGUUGCCAAGUGAAACAUGAUUUAAGUGACUCAGCAGCCAGAGCCAGCCCUUUUUCUUUAGCUAGAAAUGCUGGUUGUGUUGACCCAAAUAUACUGGAGCGCAUGUUUUGUUUACUUCAGACAAGAAGUAAGAGCUUUGAGUCAUUCCUUUUUCUACCCUAUUUAUAUUUUACAGCCAGAACUGCCUCAAAAAUACACACAGCCAUUCAUCAGAGGCCUGCGAUGUCUGCUGUGCAUUAACAAUAUAUGAAAUAUGUGAAAUUUAUCAGUGUAGGAUCAAACCACAGGCAAGACCUCACGCCUGCAUAGGUCAUGAACAGGCACUUCACCGAAAAAGAAAUUCAGGUGGCAAUACAUGUGUGAACAAAAUUAAACUUUGCAAAUAACAAAAGAUGUAUAAUUAAACUUGUGAAGAUAGCAAAGAAAUGCAGGAACCAAUGCUGGCAAGAGUAUGAAGAAGAGUACUCUGGCAGGAUUAUAGAUCAACAUAAUAUAGGGGGAGGGCAGCUUGAAAUAUAUAUUCCAGACUUUAAAAUGUAUUUAUCCUUCGUUUCAGUCAGUCCACUUCUAGAGAUUAUCCUAAGGAAACAAUGGGAUAGGCAUAUAAAGAUAUAUGUAAAGAAUGACCAUCUAAGCAUUGUUUAAAAUAGUAAAGCACUGAGGAUAACAUCCAACAAGACAGACACUGGUUGGCUUCAGUGUUGUAGAUGUAGCAAUCAUAAUAGAAAGGCUUGCAUUAAAUUUUUGAAAAAACAUAUUUCAAAAUGCAUUCAUAUAGUCCAGUUUAUACAAAAUGUAUGUGUGCAUGUACACUUCUAAAAGAACAUAUGCUAAAUUUUAAAUGCUUUUAAACUGUAAAUGAAAAUAAAAAUGUUUUAAUUCUAAACCAAAAUGUGGACUCUCAGUGCUAAAUUCUGAGUGAUGUAAACGGUCCUCUCAUAAAUUACUAUCAUUUUUGUAGAGCCUAAAACAUGUUCCCAUCACCACCCAUAUGCUUCCUCUCCAAAAUAAUCCUGAAUUUCUUAAAUAAAAAUU